GCCGUCUUUUUUUUUUUUUUUUUCAAACAAAUGUGUUAUUGCUCAACAACAAAGGGUCUGACAAGAUCCCACAGAGCUUAUACUACAAAGCUACAUAAAAGCGGCAAAUGAUGAAUGGUAAGUGCAUUCUGACUUGAUUCGGUUUAAAGAGAUCACUUCCAAGAAACACUUGGGAUCAGUACUUGUGGUAUAAGAGAUGUGUCCUGACAGCUGGGGUUUAUUGGAACAAGUGGAGCUUUGUUCUCUUUUAUGUCCAUUUAUUCCCAUGCAUUUGUCAUCCAAAACUGCUCAUGCAGAGGGCAAAGCAGAAGAUUACACACUGGAGCACCAGCAAAGAGGUAAGAGAUUCUCUCCAACUAAUGCUGAGGAGGAGGGAUUAGCUGUCAGUUCUAUUUUUAGUGGUUGCUGCUGUGAUGAUUUCUAGGGUGCCUUGUCCAGCCUGUCCCUAAUAAUGAAUUCACAUCUGGGCAUUUCCAUAGUUCGGUUGUUUGUUCCCACCAAAUCUCAUGUUGAAAUUUGAUACCCAAUGUUGGAGGUGGGACCUAGUGGGAGGUGCUUGAGUCAUGGGGCAGAUCCCUCAUAAGUGGCUUGUACAGUCCUCGUGGUAACGAGUGAGUUCUUAUUCUGUUAGUUCCUGGGAGAGCUGGUUGUUAGUACCACCUUCCCCCCACCCUUGCUUCCUCUCUUGUCACAUGAUCUCUGCACAUAACAGCUCUCCUUCACCUUUCGUCAUGAGUAGAAGCAGCCUGGGCCCCUCACCAGAAGCAGAUGCCAGCCCCAUGCUUCUUGUACAGCCUGCAGAACACUGGAUGUCCGUGAAGUUGUGUUUGAAGAAUGGUGGAGCCUCCAUAAGCAAGAUCUUUGAUGAUUACAUGGAACUCAACUUAUCCAACCCUCUACCCCUGCCUAUUCAAAUUUGCAUAAAGAAAAUAUAAUUGUCUAUAAUAUCAGACCCCUGAAAUUUGGGCAGGGAAGUGGGGGAGGUCUGUUACAGCAGUUAGCCUACCCUGACUCAUACAGCAUUCAAGAGCCCAUAGAAAGAGCAAACGAUGCUCUCUGAAUGCACCUACUCUUGCAGCAUUUCUGACCAUCUUUUUUGUAAUGUUCCCCUCUACUUGAUUCCAACAACUGGUGUUGAGCUGGGGAAUGAUGGGGAGAAGCAUGUCAGGUUGUUACAUACUAGCUUGUCAAUAUGACUUUGGAAAAGAGAAUGUGAAGAUGGCAAAGAAUACACAUUCCUGAGGACAGAAAUGCUAUCCCAACCAACAAAUCCUUGAGGGGUCUGUUCCCUAAAACAGUCAUUCUACUAGGUGCUGGGAAUACUAAGGUAUGAAACUUCAUCUCCACCUUAGAAUGAAAACAAAAACAAACAAAAAGAUACAAUUCUUUUCCUCUAACUUACAAACGAGUUGGGGAAACACAACUUAAAAAACAGUGGGCUAAUCAAAGAGGACAAACUUUACAGUCAGCAGAACUGGGUUGCAAUAACAAAUAUGGCACUUAAAUAGUAAAUAGAUGGACAACUAUUUCAUCACAUUGUCCUCAGUUUCCUUAGGCACCUGAUAAACAGGUUUAAGUUUUUUAACAUUUUAUUUUGAAAUAAUUUUUAGCUUAAAGAAGAGUUGGAAGAGUUCCCAUCAUUCCUUCUCCUAUCUUCCCGUAAUGUUAACAAUUUUACCUAGUUUGUUUUUAUUUUACAGAAUUGUUUUGACUACUCUGGUUUCUUUACUUCUCCAAAUAAAUUUCAGAAUCAACUUGUUGUUUCUGCAAAGAAGCAUAUAGUUGGGUCUUGUUUUUUACCCAGUCUGACAAUGUUUUUCAAUUAGUGUUCAGAUCAUUAAUGUGUAAAAUGCAUUAAAAUCACCUUCUUACUGGC
ensembl:lncRNA